GCCACCACACCACGUUGGAAAAACCGGUACCCGUUGGACCACCUAAGUUAAUCCAUUUCGGACCCGGCUAAUACUUACAUGGGUGACCCACUGGGAAAACUGGGAGCUGUGGUCUUU
rnacentral:rRNA from 1 species